GAGACGAGUACUGAGAGAGCUGCUUCUAGAGAGGAGGCUAAGCUAGAGCAACUGGUGGUAGACUCGAACACUCCAUUGUAUGAUGGUUGCAAUCCUAAGGUGACCCGCUUGAGUUUCACGCUCCAACUCCUGAAGACAAAGGCUAAAAACAAAUGGACCGACACUAGCCUCGAUGCGCAUCUCAAGUACCUAAAGGAUGUUCUUCCCGCGGGUAAUCUAUGUCCUAGUAGUGUUGAUGAGGCCAAGAAGAUCGUGUGCCCUCUUGAUCUGCCACACGUUAGAUACCAUGCAUGCAUCAACGAUUGCAUAAUUUAUCGGAAGGAG
rnacentral:rRNA from 1 species